CACACACACUGGUGUGUGUUUUAGUCGACCAAAGAGAGAGAGAAAGCGAAAGAACACCAAAAACCUAAUUUGAAGAAUCUAGAGAAAUCAAGAUGAAAUCUGAGUGUUUGGCAUGCAUGAUUAAAGAUUUCAAGCCACUAACAUCAUUUAUACAUAAGGUGGGAGCUUGGAAAUGAAUGGUUCAAAUGGAUUAAAGGCGCGAGGAAGCUCGAACGGACGCAAGACUGGAACUGGACGGAAGGACGACCAAGCACGCGAAGAACCGAACAUUCUGAAACCGCGAUCUUUCGGAAAUAAUCAUGAGAAGAAUGAAGCAUGAUCAUGCUUAACAAAUUUCAAGCAUAAAACCUUAAUGUUCUUAAACUGUAAUUAAGUGUAUAGUCCGUUAUGUCAGUUCGUUUCGGUUAUUAAUUAACCCAGACGU